rnacentral:rRNA from 1 species
UACGGGGGGGGGCAAGCGUUGUUCGGAAUUACUGGGCGUAAAGGGCUCGUAGGCGGCCAACUAAGUCAGACGUGAAAUCCCUCGGCUUAACCGGGGAACUGCGUCUGAUACUGGAUGGCUUGAAUCCGGGAGAGGGAUGCGGAAUUCCAGGUGUAGCGGUGAAAUGCGUAGAGAUCAGGAGGAACACCCGUGGCGAAGGCGGCUCCCUGGUCCGUUUCUGACGCCGAGACGCGAAAGCGCGGGGGAGCGA